rnacentral:rRNA from 1 species
UGGGGAAUAUUGCACAAUGGGGGAAACCCUGAUGCAGCAACGCCGCGUGGGUGAAGAAGUAUUUCGGUAUGUAAAGCCCUAUCAGCAGGGAAGAGAAUGACGGUACCUGACUAAGAAGCCCCGGCUAACUACGUGCCAGCAGCCGCGGUAAUACGUAGGGGGCGAGCGUUAUCCGGAUUUACUGGGUGUAAAGGGAGCGUAGACGGAACAGCAAGUCUGAAGUGAAAGCCCGCGGCUCAACUGCGGAACGGCUUUGGAAACUGCGGUUCUGGAGUACUGGAGAGGUAAGCGGAAUUCCUGGUGUAGCGGUGAAAUGCGUAGAUAUCAGGAGGAACACCGGCGGCGAAGGCGGCUUACUGGACAGAAACUGACGUUGAGGCUCGAAAGCGUGGGGAGCAAACAGGAUUAGAUACC